CCGUGGUGCCCUGCGGGCAGAAUGGAAGGGGCGGAACGGCAAGGGCGCAACGCGCUUGCGCAGAUCGAGGGCCGAAGGGAGGCGGAGGUAUUGAGGUCCAACUGCUGAGGAGUCUCCAUGUGACAGAGAGCGGCGUCCCAGCUCCAGGCGACGCCAGAUUCCAGUUCCCGAUCCCACGCCCCGUCCACUGACCCUGUGCCUGCAGAUAGCAGCAGGCCGGGGCCCCGUGGUCUUGGCCGGAGGACCCUGGCUCAGAGUUAAUAGUCUCCGCCAAGCAGGUGCGAGGGACCGCCGAGACCCCCUGCAUCUCCAGAGAGGCAGGCGGCGCGGAGAGCAAGGCUUCUGUCAUCGCGGCGCUGCGAGUGCGGGAACAUGAACGGCUUCACUCCCGAGGACAUGAGCCGCGGUGGGGACGCGGCCGCCGCUGUGGCCGCCGUGGUCGCCGCUGCUGCCGCCGCCGCGUCAGCCGGGAACGGGGCUGGGGCUGGCGCCGGGGCCGAGGUGCCGGGUGCAGGGGCAGUCUCGGCGGCGGGGCCGCCGGGAGCGGCAGGGCCGGGCCCCGGGCAGCUGUGCUGUCUGCGCGAGGACGGCGAGCGGUGCGGCCGGGCGGCGGGCAACGCCAGCUUCAGCAAGAGGAUCCAGAAGAGCAUCUCCCAGAAGAAGGUGAAGAUCGAGUUGGAUAAGAGCGCAAGACAUCUUUACAUUUGUGAUUAUCAUAAAAACUUAAUUCAGAGUGUGCGAAACAGAAGAAAGAGAAAAGGGAGUGAUGAUGAUGGAGGAGAUUCACCUGUUCAAGAUGUUGAUACUCCGGAGGUUGAUUUAUAUCAAUUACAGGUGAAUACACUUAGGAGAUACAAAAGACACUUCAAACUUCCAACCAGACCGGGACUUAAUAAAGCACAGCUUGUUGAGGUGUACAAAGUACAAUGAGAAUGAAUGGGAAGACUUGCCACAGGAGCAACAAAGAUUAAGAAGGUAGCCUGUUCCUAUUCCUGUUUCACUGUUGGAUAAGGUCAUCCAAGAGUCCCAUCCUACACAACGUUUGAAGCUGUUUCUCCAGGGCACAUCUCUAAAUCAGCUUUCAUCUCUUCCUGGCCCUGCGAGGAUGCUGGAAGUGAGGCCCAGUCCCCAAGUCUCCAGCACAUGAACCAGUGGUCUCUGAUCUUAUGAGGAAACUGAAGUUUGGUUAUGGAAGCAGACUCAUGUGAGAGCAAACAGCAAAGCUGGGAUGUAAACUGAAGCCACCUACCAGGGGCCGUCCACUGUGAGGUACCCUUGUGAAGACAGUCCAUCCAGAACACCAGUGUCAGCGUCUCUGCCUGCAAGAUGACAGACAGAGGAGAGGCCGUGGGGAACAAAGACCAAUGUGACACAGUACACAUGGAGCGGGUCACCAGGAAAGAAGCACCAGACACUCCCCGGCCUCUUCUCUAACAUCUUUAAACAAGACGAAGCUCAACAGCAAAAAAGUUCUUUGAAAAGUUCAGAAGACAGCUGAGGACAGUAACUUUUCUGAAAUUCCAAAUAAAGAUGAACUACAUUACUA